UCCCAGGUGGUCUAGUGGUUAGGAUUCGUGGCUCUCACCCACGCGGCCCGGGAUCGGCCCGGGAUCGAUUCCCGGUCUGGGAA
rnacentral:tRNA from 1 species